rnacentral:lncRNA from 1 species
UGAAAACAACUGUGUUUUCUGAGGGAAUGUGUGUAAAAUCUUAUUUUUUCUGUCAAGAUUAUCUCGAAUAAUACACACGUAUAAAUUUUUUGUAAUAUAUAUAUAAUAUUUGUAAUAUAUACCGUUACAUAUAAUAACGGUAUUCAAAUAUUUUCACCAAACUGUGAGCAAGAAGCUUUAAGAACGUGUAUGGAGUUCUAUAGCCUUUUGAUAAAGUAAUACUGCUUGGCUGGAUGAAUGGAUGAUUUCAAUUUGAUAUCAUACCGAAGUGUGCAUUUCACAUUACUUCCGUAUUUACACUGUGUCCACAAUUUAACUGGAUCUCUUAACAGGAGGCAUAUAGUUAUAGUCAGUCAUUUAACACAUUUACAAUUAUGAAUCUGGUUUACUUACAAAACAUUGUGCUUCUUUUUUGUGCUUAUAUUGUUAAAGUUUCGUCAGAGCUGUCUUGUGAAACACAUGAUUUGCAGGCACUCAUGCUUCGAUUGCGACAAAUAAAGAUAGAAUCUGAAGCAAAAAUUAAAGAAUUGACGAACAGGAUUGAAUUCCUAGAAAAUAGGUUGGAAGAAAGAAAAGGUCAGUCAAUGGUGGCAUUCCAUGCCUACCAUGUGGCAAACAUAACACCAAGCGAACAGUCAAUUAUGGUAUUUUCCAAAGUUCGUCUAAAUCAGAGAGGAUCAUACAACCAAUCUACAGGCAUUUUUAUCCGUUCCAAAAAGUGGAACAUAUAGAUUCUACGCCCACAUGUGUACCAGAGUUUAUAACGAAGGGUACAUGAUAUUUGAUAUAAUGAUUGGAAGGAUUGCAUAUGCAACUGCAUAUGGGUCUCUUCCCGUGACCAGCAAUGCAUUGUGUGAUUCGGCACAGGCUGUUGCAUAUUUGGAAAUCAAUGAUAUCGCUUUUGUUAGGUGGAGCGGCAACAGUAGUAACAUUUGCCAAAGUACUGCGUGUGAUAACACGUUCUCAGGAUCAUUGAUUAAUAACUAGAACGUUAGCAGUUGGUUUUCAAACUGACACUUUAUUAUUUCAUCACUUAUUACACAAAUUUAUUCAUCUUCUAUUCACUUUAACGCAGAUUAACGAGAUGUUAUUCUAUUAUAUUUCAUAUUUCAAAGCAGUAAGUCUAGAGGUUUCUUGUUUUGUGUUGUUGUUGUUGUCUUUAUUAGGAAUGCUUCAGCAUGUAGGUUAAUCUAGACAUGAUUUCGAAUUUAAUAUUCUGAAACUUAUUUCAUAAUCUGAGCCGUGCCAUGAGAAAACCAACAUAGUGGCUUUGUGACCAGAAUGGAUCCAGACCAGCCUGCACAUCCACGCAGUCUGGUCAGGAUCCAUGUUGUUCUCUAACAGUAUCUCUAUUGCAAUAGGCUUUGAAAGCGAACAGCAUGGAUCCUGACCAGACUGCGUGGAUGCGCAGGCUGGUCUGGAUCCAUGCUGGUCGCAUGGCUCAUCUGUUGUUUCAUAAUGUCUGACAUGAGCAUUCGAGCACUCCGUGUGAUUGAUGCAUUAAGAGACAGGGAAUCAAACAUUGAUAUUUAACAAAUAAUCAAGGCCUUCGUGUGGUUUAUCACCUAAUUUACCACGGUUCAGAGUUCAGAUGCGUAGGAAUUGAACCACGAGAACAUUAGCCCAAGUGAUUAAAUACUGAAGCAUCUGAACGAUGUAUCGUGAUCAGUUAGACGACAAAAGACAAGAAGGUCUUGGUUGUUUUCAUUCUGACAUGUUCAUUGACAUAUUUCAAUAAAUAUUAUGCUGGACCUAAUUUUCACCAGAAAUAAUGUAUUAGACGUCAUGCGGCAAUAUGACGUCAUAAUUGACAUCAUAAUGCUCUCUUACCGGUCCGCGCGUCAACCGUUGCUUAACGCAGAGUUUACAAAGCUUGGUUUUUCUUUGUUUAACUGGAAAUCAAAUCGAGCCAUGUUGGAAUAUGAUAUGUAAAGUUACUUUAAUUGUUUUGAUGGACUGUCCGGAAAAUACAAUAGAAAACAAAUUGUAAAAAUAGCAAUGAAUGACAGCAACAAAAUAUGUUUGUGACAAGGUUUCAAAAAGCAAACAUUUCUUUUAGUAAUUAGAUUCCUCAAAAGGGAUCGCAUCAUAAGGAAUUUAUUACAAAAUACACAAUAAUUGUUUAAUCUAUGCUAACAUUUCCUGUUAGCAUUUUAAUCAGUUUUGUUGUAAGAGUUUACACCUUUUCCCUGUUAUUCAGGCCAAUGAGAGUAUUUACUAACCUGCAAAAAGAUAUAUCGACCGCGGGCGUAUUCCGACCGAAUCUGAAACGUCACAGUUGUUAAGGAAAGAGUAAGAAGUCCAAAACAUUUGCAGCGUUUCUUCUAGUUUACACAGUUGUCUAAAAUUGUGUACUGCGUCACUUUAAUUAUGGUGUCAAUUUAUCAUGGCGUCAUUGCUGCUGGUAAUUUAAGUGUCUUAUUGGCUCUGCCUACUAGUAAGAACGACUUGAUAACCUGUUAAAUAGCGGAAAAUUUUGAAUAUGUGUUUAUAGAGCAUGGUCAAACAUAAAUAUAUUAAUGUAAUUUGA